CUCGGGCGACACCGAUUCGCCGGCGUGGACAUGAGAAUCCGCGUGAAGGGCGGGGGACACACGUCGCAGAUCUACGCCAUCCGCCAGAGCAUCGCCAAGGCUCUCGUGGCUUUCUACCAGAAGUAUGUUGACGAGCAGAGCAAGAAGGAGAUCAAGGACAUUCUCGUUAGGUACGACAGGACCCUGCUUGUGGCAGACCCACGGCGGUGCGAGCCCAAGAAGUUCGGUGGACGUGGCGCUAGGGCUCGGUUCCAGAAGAGUUACCGUUGAGCGGGAAUGCUAGGAAGCGAAACGAAACGGCUUGUUGUUUUGCUCUGCUGUACCGUACAUCCGCCUUGGCCGUACAGCAGUGAGUAGAAAAUGGACAUCUUUUAUUUGUAAAAAUUAUUUAUUUAAGUAUAUAUUUUAUAAAAAUCAAUGUAAUAAUAUAAAUUUUAAUUAUAUAUGUUUGAUUGUAAAUAUUAAUAUAAUAUUUUAUUAUAAUAAUCAUUAUAAAUAUUUAUGUAAUAUAAUAAUAUUAUACGUGAUCAGUAUUAAAAAAACUCAAUCUACUGAACUAAGAAUCACAAAUAAAUAAAUAUUAGUAAUAAUAAUAGAAUUUAAUUUUUCUUAAAGGAGUAAUAUUAUUAUUUACUUGCUUACCGCGCCAGCAAUUGCCUUUUUGACCGCCUUCAUGUCAUCGAUCGAGAAAGUAGCCGUCGCCAGCUUCCUCGGCCAGAGCUCGACCCCAGCGCCUCCGCUAAUCGCCGUCUUCCGAUCAGAAACCCACAGAGCCCUCAACAAAAACUCCAAAACGAACACGAUACUAAGCAAAACCAUCUUCAACAAACCCCACAAGCUCCCGAUCUUCCCCGCACUCUCCGUCCUCUUCCCGCCGGCCACCGCCGGCAGAGCCUCCGGGUCGUCCGCCAGGCGGCAACCCGCGAGCAGCAUCGACACCAGCGAAAUCCCAUCGCCCAAGGCAUGGUGAAUCCUGAACACGGCGCACCUGUGCUCCGCCAGCACGUGAACCUCCCACAGGGGCUUGUCUUCGCUGAGGGGAGAGCUGAAUGACAGGCCGGCCACGUAGUCGUUGACCGAGGUGGAGUCGUGGACUUCGACGAAGUGUCGGUCGAUGUCGACGCUGGUUUCGCGCCAGUGCUCGAGGCCGCGCUUGUCUCUGACCAGGACGCUCCGGAAGCGCGGGUGCCGGACCAUGAUGGAGCUCAUGACGGCGUCCUUCGAUUUGGGCACGUCAAUGGGGCGUUCGAACCCGACGACGCAGUGGAUUAUCGUGUUCAUGUGCGGCUGGAGGAAGAGGCGGCCGGCGGGGGUCAGUGGCUCGUCGGGGUGGGACCCCAUUUGUAGCUGUGUAUGUUCCUUGUUGAAGAUGUCCUACAGAGAAUUUUAUGACGCCGGUUCCAUCCAACUAACUGGCUUUAACCUUUGCCUUCAUUUCACACAAAUAAGAAGUUUGAUUGAUGCAAAUCACGAAGGGGGGAAAAAGAAAGGGUACCUUGUUAUGAACGACAAUCCAGCAAUCGUCUUUGGUGUUGUGGUGAGCAGCUUCUUGCCUGCUGUACGGCCAAGGCGGAUGUACGGUACAGCAGGGGGGGGUUCUUCCUUUUUGAUUUAAUUUUUUUAUCAUCAAAACAAAACAUACGUUCCAUUAAUUUGUCUUAUUUUGAUGAUCAAAGGAUUUGUUUCGUUACUUUUUAAUUGCUGGUCUGGGCAACAACUAUGACAUACUUUGUUUAGAUAAUUAAUAAAUGGUUGGGAAUAUUAUUUAUGCCACUUGGGUUUAGCUGUUGAGGACCGAUGCUUUCCUUUCAAACUUCUAUUGAUAAGGGGAUUACAAUAAUGAUUUAUAUAUGUAUGUAUGUAUAUACACACAUGCAUAUACAUACAUACAUACAUACAUACAUCAUACAUAUAUAUAGGGAAAAAUUGAAAGAUGGAGGAUUACUUUUUAAAUUGAUUGGUUGUUUUAGUCAUUAGCACAUUAGAUGCCCCUUCAACAAUAGUCAUAUUAACUAGCGUAUUUAUUAAUGUAUAUCUUCUUUGGACGUUGUUCAUCGAGUAAGAAAGGACAAUUUGAUAAUAUUGUAGUUUUUGUAUUAAUUUAUUAGUUAUAUUGUAUAAAUAAUUAACUACAAAGACAAUCAAUUAAACGUUUAGUAAAAUUUAUUUUUAAAAGUACUAUGACUUUCAAAAAUAUAACUUUUAAAAAGAGUAAUGAUAUAGCCACAAAAUCUUGUACAAACUUAUUUUGUACAAACUGAUGUAGCAUGAUAAGAUUGGUUGAAUUAAAUAUCACUUGGCCCACAUGAUUUGUUUUUAUUAUUUUAUAUUUUCAUUCAACCAAUGAAUUAAUGCCACGUUAGUUUGUACAAAAUAAGUUUGUACAAGAGUUUGUGACUGUAUCAUUACUCUUUUAAAAAUAAAUGUAUUUAGUAAAUUUUACUGUUAAAUUGCUGUUAAAACAUAAAUGAUUGAAUUGGAGAUAAUGUUGAAUAAAAUUUAUUUAAACAUUUAUAGGUAUGAAUAUAAAAUAUUUUUGAUUGUGUACGUAAAUAAUUGACUACUAAAAUGAAUAUUUUAUAAUAUUAAAUUUAUUUUUUUAUCUCAAUAUAAUUACUAAUAAUAAUAAUAAUUUAUUUAAAGUUGAUGAUUUUAUUUCCUAAUUAAGAAGGAUGAUUUUAGAUUUUUAUAAAAUAUAUGAGGAUAUAUAUGAAAUUAUAUUAGGUAUAAAAGUAAUUCUCAAAAUUAGAUUUUAAAAAACUACUAAUUUUGUUGCUUUUCAAAAUUGUUAUAGGAUGAGAUAAUUUUAUCAAAAGUAAUUUAUUAAAAAAAAAUAGCAAACAUCAAAAUUAACUUCUAGGUUUUUGAAAUCACAUUUGAACUUCCUAAAAGUAAUCCCAAAACGUGUCCUAAGGAUGUAGUAUAUAUUUUGUAUUAGAUUAUUUUCAAGCUGGUUAAUUAAAUAACUCACUAAUCAGAUACACUUUCAAAUUAUGUUCAAGCACCAAUCACUAAAAUGAAAAUGAAAAUUUACAAAUUCUCAAAAAAUUGAAAAACUUCAACCCUUAAUAGUCGAAUCAUACAAGAAGUGAUUGGUGAGGAGAUCUUUAAUCCAUUUCUUAAUCCCCAAUAAUGUCUAAUAAUCCAGUAUUACAAGGCUCUAAUUCCCACCACAGAUUUUAUAGCUCAAUAAAAUAAAUAGGAUGGAGUCACUAGAAGGGAAGGACCCUUGCAAAAAUGCCAUCUAUCAAGGCCGGCAUAAAGUCAUUUGUGUGAUGUUAACAAAACAUAAACCCACCACGAAUCAAUCAUUUUGUGCAAUUUGCAAAUCAAUUUUCCUUCUGUGUAUAUAGAAAUUAAUAACAUAUAAUAGUGUCAUAAGGCGAAAAUUUAUAACAUAUAGCGUCAGACUAGUAAUACGAAUAUAAAGAAGAACAGUGUAGUUGGGGGCUAGCAGAGGCGGAUACACCUCGUGAUUAAUGGGGGCUCAAGUCCCUGCUGCUGGAGAAAAUAAUUUCAAAAAAAAAAUAAAAAGAGAAAUUGCUUUAAAUUAAAUCUGUUAAAGUAGCCCUAUUAAUUUAUAAAAAUAAGGGUUAUUAUCAUUUUACUACUUCAAAAAUUGUCAAAUAUCAAAUGACUACAACAAGUAUUGUCUCCUAUCAUUUUCUUACUAUAUCUUUAUAAAAAUAUCAUUUUAUUACUUUUCCGUUAUAACCGUUAGUUGACCAGUUAGUUGACUAACAAAAUACCAAUUUCACCCUUUAUGAUUAAAAAAAAUUACUUGAAACUUAUUUACAAAAUAAAAUUGUAAUAUAUUUAUUAAAAUGGAUAUAAAAUACCAACAUAAUUCUUUUUGCUGGUAUUAUGAAAAUGAAGCUUAUUUACAAAAUAAAUUUGUCUUAUUAUUUUUUUAAUGAAGCUUAUUUUUUUAAUCAUGAAGGGUAAAAUUGAUAUUUUGUUAGUCAACUAACUGGUCAACUAACGAGUCAACUAACGGUUGUAACGGAAAAAUAGUAAAAUGAUAUUUGUUAUAACAAAAAAGUAGUAAAAUGAUAUUUUUAUAAAGAUAUAGUGGGAAAAUAAUAGAAGACAAUAUUUAUUGUAGUCAUUUGAUAUUUAGUAAUUUUUGAAGUAGUAAAAAUGAUAAUAACCCUAAAAAUAAUCUCAUAAACCCAUAACAUUUAAAUUUUUAACCUUGAGAAUUAUAAAAACCCAUACUCUAAUUAAGAAAAAUAAAAACUCACAGUAACUUAAUUAUAUGGAUGGUUUUACUAUUAUUUAAUUUAACCAUCAUUAAAUUUAUUAAAAUAAACUAAUUAGCUCACAAAAAUUUAUUUGUGAAAUUUUAACGGAUUUUUUUAUAAAUUUAUGAAAUGUUCAUUCAUUUAUUUUAAAUUAUAAAUAAAUAUGAAAUUAAAUAAAUUUCAUAACGGAUUUUUUUUUUUUUUGACACCUUUAACAUCGGACAAGCUGAUCUUUUGACAUAAUUAACUAACAAACAGAUGUGACAUGUAACAAAUAAAUCGCUUGUUAUAAGUAAACUUUUCCUCCACAUAAUAUUAUUGAUAAAGACUAUUUGAGAAUAGUUGUUGAGCGCUUUUAAAUGAGCAUAAGGAUGAGGGAGGGACGAUGGAAACUGAGCACAUGUUGUCAUUUCAUAUACUCUUCUCUCUCUUAUUUAUGGCCCACUAGUGCUAUUAUAAUAAUAAUUAAAAAUGAGGCAAAAUAAUGAAAAAAAUUAAAUUAAAUAAAAAAGCAGCCGUUAUCCCCAAGUACGGGAUCUGCUGACGGUGCCGAUGACGACCGCGCCAACAACAGAGGCGGCUUCUAAGUUGACGAAAUUAUGAAAUUGUCGUUGGUUAAUUGGUAAUUCUCUCUCUCUCCAAUUACAUUGAAAUAAACUUAGUUUAUGGAUGUGUUUUAUAUAUUUAAAUUGUUAGAGUUUUUUUUAAAUUUAAAUUGUUAGAAAGUUAAUGGAUUAAAAUUUUACUAGAUGAUAAUUUUAUAAAAAAAUUUAAUUACUUGUUCUUAAUACAAAGGAUAAUUAUUUUGUAGAAAUAUAAUAACAAGUUAUAAACACAUGAGAGAUUGAGUACUCAAUAACAAACUCAAUGAUAAUUAUUGAAUCCGUUAUAAUUUGAAUUUGGUUGAGCUUUUUUUUUUUUAAUAAUUGGAGAAGACCUUUUGGACACAAUUGGAUCACUGUUAACCUCAAUCAGUUUGCUGUUCUGACUUGUUCCUAGUAACCAUUAUGUUGAAUUUUAAAUUAUUGGAUCAUUGUUUAGAAUAGUCGGAUUACCGUUUAAUUCCAAAAAGUUCACUGAUCGAAGUCAAAUCACCGUUUGUUGUUUACCGUUUAAUUCCAGAAGCUCACAUCUGCGAAGUCGGCUUGUUAUUUGUAAAUAACGGUUUGCUGUUUUCAAAUAAAAUUUUUUCUAUAUUUUAUUGGUUACCGUUUUCUCACUAACAAUUAACCAUUAACUUCCCAAAGCUAUUAAUAACUCAACUACAAGUUAUUGGUUUGCCCUUUUUAAGCUUAACAGUUAUCCAUUUAUUUUCAUAAACUUGAAUUUGUCGAAAACAUCAUACGAUCUAAGAAAUUAUCCAAAUUUAAAGACUCUUAACUUUCUUAAUUUAGUUUGUUAUCAUCAAAAUCAAUGUCAUGGUUAUGUCAACACUUCCUUUGCAAUUGUAGAUUAGUGAAAGUGUAAAAAAGUAAACUAAAAUGAGUGAUUGUGCGAGAAUUAAAGGUAUUGCAUCAAAUUGAUAUUAUAAGCCCAAAUUGAUAUUUGCAUUCCCAAUUAUAAAGUAUUGCAUCAAUACAAAAAGGCAACAUAUAUGUAAAAUGAAAACUGGUGCAUUUGACAGUAGAAAAUUGAAAGACUUUUACAUCUUACAAUUUGGGUCAAGGCCAUUAGCAAGCUUUUACAAUUUGCUUGUUAUGCGUCAGUACAAUAUUUUCCAAAUCAAGUUAUCAUAAAAAAUUAUCAUAAAUCACCUAAUUGAAUUUUUUUAUAAAAUUAUCAUAAACCACAGAACUAUCAUAACACAAAUACAAUAUAUUAGAUCCUAUUUUACUAUUUAUACUCAAUGAUUCCAAAAAUUAUCAUAAAUCACAUAAUUGAAAUUGUUUAUUUUUAAUUAUUUGACAGAAAAUUGAUCGUAUACAAGUGAGAGAUAGAGAGAGAGAGAGAGAGAGAGAAAUGAGACCUUUAGCAAUGGCAGUAUUGGCAUUAUGGUGAUGGCUCUGUUAGACCUGUGAUGCACUGGCGGUGGCUCUAUUGGCUCUUUAUACAUCAGCAUCAUGGUGGCAGCUCCAUUGAAUGCAAGGUUAUGGCUUUUCUUCUUCUUCUUUUUCCUUUUGAUAAGAGAUCAUUAGUUGAUCAUCGUCGGUCGUUUUUUAACAAAAUGAUCCUUUUUUUUCCAACAGAAUAAAUGUGCAAAGCUUUAGGAGAAAAGUGCUGCUAAACGAAGAUGAUAAGGUUUAGCAAAAAGGCUCGAUCUUCCUACUUUUUUAUUUUUUAAUUAUUAUUUUAAUAGUUAUUGUGGGUCACAAAUAAGAGAGAGAAGGGUGCACGAAACAGCAGCAAGUGCUGCCAUUUUGGUUGUCCUUCCCUCGUCCUUGGGCCAUCUCCAAUGCUUAACACUAUUUUAGUGUAACACCAACAUAAAAAAUUUUUUUUUUUUUACACUAAAUUAUUAUUUCAUCUCCAAUCCAUUUACACCAAAUUUUACACCAAAAAAAAUAUUCUUCUUUUUAUUAUUUUAAUUCUCAAUAAUUAAUUCAAUUAACACAAUAAAUAUUACUAUUAAUAUAGACAAUUAAGUAAUAAGUAAUUUUAUAUUGAUUAACAAAAAAAAAAGAAAAUUAUUAAAUUUGCAUUUAAUUAAUUAAAUUAGUAUAUUAUGAAAAUUAAACAUUACAUUAAUAUAGAAAAAUACAAUAACAGUAAUAAUAUUCUAGUUAUUCGAAUUACUAAAUUCAUCCCAUAAAUGAUCAAUUAAUGCAUUUCGGAGUGCAAUGUGAGCCUCUUUAUCCUUGAUUUGUUUGUGUCGAGCAAGAAAUUCUUGAAAUCUAGUAUUCUCAUAUACCCUCAUAUCAACGAUUGAUAUUGGGGCUUGCAUCCAAUCAUUAAUUGUUGCAUUAACAUCACGUUCAUCUUCGAUUAUCAUAUUGUGCAUAAUAAUGCAAGCCGUCAUUAUAUCAUGUAACAAAUUAAGAUUUUACAGAGAAGACCUCAGCAAUGCCAAUCAUCUCAAAAUACUUCCAAUAAUAUUGGCCAAUAUUUUGAUGAUAUUGGAGGAUCUAAUAAUGAUCUCCCAUAUUACUAAAUAAUUGUUCUAAUUUAUGCUAGUAGUAGUAGCUUUUUAAUUUGUGUUAAUUUAAUUUUGUAUUUUUAAUUUUGUAAUAUGUAAUCUAGUAAUUAAUGUUAUUGACAUUUUAUUUUUAUUAUUAAUUUUUGUGUUGAAUAUUUUUUAUUUAAAAUAUUAGUAUAAUAAUCAAAAAUUAAAAAAUGAAAUUAAAAUAAUAAUAAUAAUAACUUAAAAUAUUAUAUAAAAUAGGACAUAUAUGUAAGUAAAAAUAAUAAUAAGGACAUUUGAGAUUUUUUUUUCCCUAGCACCAAAUGAAUAGUGUUGCACCAUAUUUGGUGCAAUACUAUUCAUAACACCAUUUUGGUGUUACUUUGGAGAAAUAUUUUAUACCAAAAAUGGUAUAAAAUGUGGGGCAAAAUUAUGUUGCAACAGUGGUACGGUACCACUGUUACAACCAGCCAUUAGAUCUAUAGUUGUACAAUUGUAUUAAUUAUAUCCAAUGACUGAAAGCAACAUAGUUAGACCCUAAAAGGUGAUUUGGUGUUAGGUUUAGUGCUGCAUGGAGAUGCCCUCACGGCUAUUUAGCAUUUUUUCGAAGUUGUUUAGUUUUAAAUUAUAAAAAUUAUAUUGAAACGCACCGUUUCAAGCAUAAAUGUAAUUAUCCAAAACCCCAAGGGCAUUUCCAAAAACUGAUAAAACCCUAAACACUAACUAUAUAAGCCCCACUUAAUCCCUCGCGUCUGCUCCACCGGUAGUCAUUUUAGGGUUUCUCUGUGUGUUGCGCGCGCUUCCCUCAUAGCAAACCCUAACAAAAAAUGGCGACAGCAAAAGCAGGUCCAGUGGAAUCUGUACAAUGCUUCGGCCGCAAGAAGACUGCGGUCGCCGUGACUUACUGCAAGCGCGGUCGUGGGUUGAUCAAGAUUAACGGCUGCCCGAUCGAGUUAGUCGAGCCGGAGAUCCUCCGCUUCAAGGCAUACGAGCCAAUUCUCUUGCUCGGGCGACACCGAUUCGCCGGCGUGGACAUGAGAAUCCGCGUGAAGGGCGGGGGACACACGUCGCAGAUCUACGCCAUCCGCCAGAGCAUCGCCAAGGCUCUCGUGGCUUUCUACCAGAAGUAUGUUGACGAGCAGAGCAAGAAGGAGAUCAAGGACAUUCUCGUUAGGUACGACAGGACCCUGCUUGUGGCAGACCCACGGCGGUGCGAGCCCAAGAAGUUCGGUGGACGUGGCGCUAGGGCUCGGUUCCAGAAGAGUUACCGUUGAGCGGGAAUGCUAGGAAGCGAAACGAAACGGCUUGUUGUUUUGCUAUUAUAGUUUGUUUGUU
rnacentral:lncRNA from 1 species